AUCGUUUGUUCGACGGGUACAAUAAAUUUUCACUUGCAUUCGUUACAUAAUGUUUGGCGCAGUUUUGUUGGGCUUUACAGUUUUACAUUAUGGUUACCAUGAUAGUUGGCAGAAAAAAUGUGCUUCUGGGAAGUUGUAUUUAUUUACAACAGAUGUCGCCAUCUGGUAAACGUCAAAUUUAUGUCAUUUUUAGCGUCCUUUUUCAUUGUGUCGUUUAACUGUAAACAAAUCUGUUUUCAACGCGAACGAAAAUUAAGUGAAUUAGGUCAUUGAUAGCAUAAAACCAUAAAAAUUGAGCUUUGUAAAGUCAAAAAAGUUGAUUUUCUAGUUGGACGAAACAAACUUGUGUGAAUAGUGUAGUAUAGUAAACAGUGGACCUUUGUGAUAUACACAGUCUGAGAGUGCAGAGAAUUUUGUGAAUAUUGAUUUAUGAAGUGCUUCACUCUCUCCAGCAUCACCAGUCGCCGGUUUUCCAUAGUUUCUAUGUUGCUUUUGUCCGUUUCAUAUGAAUUUUGGAAUUGAGUCGGAUUCGAUUCAUUACUGUGAAGCUGAAUAUUUCGUCGACAACACUGCCACCACUUCAAAAUUAUCCAACCGGUUUCUAGCGCAUUUAACACAUCUAUUUAAACAAAAUGGAUGGUGCCCGUAGAUGGCAUGCUGCAAUGAGAUUUGACGAUCUAGACCUCCAACUACCGGAGGGAGUCAUAUACAUGGGUAUCGGGAUUGACCCACAAAUCGCUCCAAACGACGGUUACAAUCGUAGACGACCCAGGAGACGAAUUCCAAUUUAUUACGGCCGUAACUUUCAAGACAGACUUCCGACUACUGCAGAAUUAUCCGGCGAGCAUCCUUCACUACGUCGCUAGGAUGGAUAUGGACCUUCAACCAAUCUCAUCGACUGAUCGGCGCGACGAUGACAAUAUUGCGCAAAAGAAAAUGUUAUCGAUCGAGGUAAGACGUUUCCAUACGAUAUCGGUGUGUAAGACGAGGGUCAACUCAAAAUCGAUAAUUUUAUCCGAAAAGUAAGCAAAACAACAACGAUUUUGGUGUCUGAAUUUGUUUUUAUUUUACUGAACACAUUGAUUUGUUUUUUUGAAAAAAGAAAUAAAGAAAUUGGAUAAAAUU